rnacentral:rRNA from 1 species
GACGAACGCUGGCGGCGUGCUUAACACAUGCAAGUCGAACGGAAAGGCCCUGCUUUUGUGGGGUGCUCGAGUGGCGAACGGGUGAGUAACACGUGAGUAACCUGCCCUUGACUUUGGGAUAACUUCAGGAAACUGGGGCUAAUACCGGAUAGGAGCUCCUGCUGCAUGGUGGGGGUUGGAAAGUUUCGGCGGUUGGGGAUGGACUCGCGGCUUAUCAGCUUGUUGGUGGGGUAGUGGCUUACCAAGGCUUUGACGGGUAGCCGGCCUGAGAGGGUGACCGGCCACAUUGGUACUGAGAUACGGCCCAGACUCCUACGGGAGGCAGCAGUGGGGAAUAUUGCACAAUGGGCGGAAGCCUGAUGCAGCAACGCCGCGUGCGGGAUGACGGCCUUCGGGUUGUAAACCGCUUUCGCCUGUGACGAAGCGUGAGUGACGGUAAUGUGUAAAGAAGCACCGGCUAACUACGUG